GAUGAACGCUGGCGGCGUGCCUAAUACAUGCAAGUCGAGCGAACAGACGCUGAGCUUGCUCCUCGGACGUUAGCGGCGGACGGGUGAGUAACACGUGUAUAACCUACCUAUAAUACUGGUAUAACUACGAGAAACCGGAUCAAAUACCGGAUAAUAUAUUGAACCGCAUUGGUCAAUAGUGAGAGACGGUUUUGCUGUCUCUUAUAGAUGGAUCCGGGCCGCAUUAUAUGGUUGGUAAGGUAACGGCUUACCAAGGCAAGGAUGCGUAACCGAACUGAGAGAGGGAUAGGCGGCACUGGAACUGAGACAGGGUCAAGAGUCCUACGGGAGGGCGCAGUAGGCAAUGUUACGCAAUGGGGGAGAGUUUGACGGAGCAGCGCGGCGUGAGUGAUGACGGUGUCCGGAUCGUAAAACUCUGUUAUGAGGGAUGAACCGAUGUGUAAGUAAACAUGCACGUAUUGACGGUAAUUAAUAAGAAAGCAACGGCUAACUACGUG
rnacentral:rRNA from 1 species